CUGGGGAGCAAGCGUUGUCCGGAUUCAUUGGGCGUAAAGGGCUCGUAGGUGGGUUGAUCAGUCGAAUUUGAAAUACAAUGGCUUAACCAUUGAAACGGAUUCGAUACUGUCAAUCUUGAGUGAAAUAGAGGUAAGCGGAAUUCCUGGUGUAGCGGUGAAAUGCGUAGAUAUCAGGAGGAACACCAAAGGCGAAGGCAGCUUACUGGAUUUAUACUGACACUGAGGAGCGAAAGCAUGGGGAGCGAACAGGAUUAGAGACCCUGGUAGUCCACGCCGUAAACGAUGAGCACUAGGUGUGGGAUUCGACCCUUCACUGCUGCAGCUAACGCAUUAAGUGCUCCGCCUGGGGACUACGAUCGCGAGAUUGAAACUCAAAGGAAUUGACGGGGACCUGACAAGCGGUGGAUUAUGUGGUUUAAUUCGAUGCAACGCGAAGAACCUUACCUAGACUUGACAUGUUAGUGAAUUCUGUGAAGCAGAGACCCUCUAUGGCUUGCCCAUAGAUACUAUCACAGGUGAUGCAUGGCUGUCGUCAGCUCGUGUCGUGAGAUGUUCGGUUAAGUCCGACAACUAGCGCAACCCUUAUCCUUAGUUGCCAGCACAUAAUGGUGGGGAGUGUAGGGAAACUGCCCGGGACAACCGGAAGGAAGGUGGGGUCGACGUCAAGUCAGUAUGUCCCUUACGUCUAGGGCUACACACGUAAUACAAUGGAAGGUACAAAGGGUAGCUAAGCCGCGAGGCCGUGCCAAUCCCAAAAAACCUUCCCAAGUUCGGAUUGCAGUCUGCAACUCGACUGCAUGAAGCAGGAAUCGCUAGUAAUCGCGCAUCAGCAUGGCGVGGUGAAUACGUUCCCGGGUCUU
rnacentral:rRNA from 1 species